rnacentral:rRNA from 1 species
CUAACGUCCGUCGUGAAGAGGGAAACAACCCAGACCGCCAGCUAAGGUCCCAAAGUCAUGGUUAAGUGGGAAACGAUGUGGGAAGGCCCAGACAGCCAGGAUGUUGGCUUAGAAGCAGCCAUCAUUUAAAGAAAGCGUAAUAGCUCACUGGUCGAGUCGGCCUGCGCGGAAGAUGUAACGGGGCUAAACCAUGCACCGAAGCUGCGGCAGCGACACUAUGUGUUGUUGGGUAGGGGAGCGUUCUGUAAGCCUGUGAAGGUGUACUGUGAGGUAUGCUGGAGGUAUCAGAAGUGCGAAUGCUGACAUAAGUAACGAUAAAGCGGGUGAAAAGCCCGCUCGCCGGAAGACCAAGGGUUCCUGUCCAACGUUAAUCGGGGCAGGGUGAGUCGACCCCUAAGGCGAGGCCGAAAGGCGUAGUCGAUGGGAAACAGGUUAAUAUUCCUGUACUUGGUGUUACUGCGAAGGGGGGACGGAGAAGGCUA